GGGGAGGCCGGCACACGGGGAGAGACGGAGCGAGGGCCUGGGUCUGCGGGGCCUCCCGUGGUGCAGGGAGUGCCGCCCCUGGGGGGAGCCGGCCCGCCCCGCUGUGCUGCCUGCUCCGGCUCCGGGCUCCCCGUCUUGCUUGCGGUGGGCUCAUUUUUCCUGAGCAGCUCAGGACUUUACCAAGCUAAAUGAAGAAUGUGGAAUACUUGAAAUGUCCACUCACACAGUCCUGGAAAAACACAUUAACCUUUAAGAAGGGAAUGAUGGCUUUGCUUUCAAUGCUUUCAAUGGCCUUAUGGAUUUCUGUGGACGGAUGGUGGCGGCGGCAGAGGCCCGGUGGGUGCACACCUGCCUCAGAACAAUACCCGACAAGGACGCUAGCACGGCCACUUGGCCUGUACGCCCGGGGCUGUCCGGCAGAGAGAUGGGCUUCCAGAGCGCACCAGGCCGUGCUCCCUGGUCCUCCGCUGGCCAGCCUGCCACGCCCCGCACCCUGGCCCCUUGUUCCCUCUGUCGGGUCUCCGUCUGCCAGUCUGCAGGAGGUCCCGUCCUCCCCACGCCACCUCCCCGAGAGGAGCUCGGCUCCCUGUCCCGCGGCUCCCUGUCCCGCGGCACAGCGCCCACCGUCUGUGCGCUGGGGAAAAUGACAGAAUUCCCGCUUCUUGGGGGAAUUUGCAGAGCCUCUGAGCCUCGCGGAGGCUCUGAGAAGUCUCAUCAGACGGGAACCCGUUUUAACUUCGGUGAACACCGUUAUGUCCCAAUGUCUCAAAUUAUUCCCACCAUGGAGGCCAGGUCACGGAGAGAAAGAGAGAGAGAGAGAGAGAGAGAGAGAGAGAGAGGUAUCCAUCCUCUGGUUCACUCCCCAAAUGGCCACAAUGGCCAGGGUUGGGCCAGGCUGAAGCCAGGAGCCAGGAGCUUCCUCCAGGUCUCCCACGUGGGUGCAGGGCCCAAGCACUUGGACCAUCUUCCACUGCUUUCCCAGGUGCAUCAGCCGAGAGCUGGAUCAGAAGUGGAGCAGCUGGGACUCGAACCAGCAACUAUCUGGGAUGCCGGCGCUGCAGGGGGCGGCUUUACCUGCUACGCCACAGUGCUGGCCUGCCCACACUCCCUUUCUAAGGUGAUUCGGACACCACCUGCAAAUGUCAGGCAGAACCCGGAACAUCCGCGUGAGGAGGAGACCAGCGCUCUCUGCUCUCCGAGUCGCCCAUUCACGCAUCACCCAUGCUUUCUUUCCUCCAUCCAUCCUUCACUUCUUGACGCAUCCACCCAUCACUCAUUCACGCCCGCAGGUUUCCAAGGGCAGGUGCACGGAGGAGCCAAGGCCGGCCUGAGUGUCUCCCUGCCUUUGCCAACAAUCCAGAUGACAGGGGGACAGCAGUGCCCACGGUGCAG
rnacentral:lncRNA from 1 species